GAUGAAGAACGUAGCGAAAUGCGAUAAGUAAUGUGAAUUGCAGAAUUCAGUGAAUCAUCGAAUCUUUGAACGCACAUUGCGCCCGCCAGCACUCUGGCGGGCAUGCCUGUUCGAGCGUCAUUUCAACCAUCAAGCCCCCAGGGGCUUGUGCUGGGGCCCUGCGGCUGCCCGCAGGCCCUGAAAACCAGUGGCGGGCUCGCUAGUCACACCGAGCGCAGUAGCACAUCUCGCUCAGGGCGUGCGGCGGGCUCCUGCCGUGAAACCCCCCACUGUAACCCCAAAGGUUGACCUCGGAUCAGGUAGGUAUACCCGCUGAACUUAAGCAUAUCAAUAAGCGGAGGA
rnacentral:misc_RNA from 1 species